CGGCCGUCGCCGGCAGUCAGGAGAUGCAGUUUUAUCCAGUAAAGCGAAUGAUUAGAGGUCUUGGGGCCGAAACGAUCUCAACCUAUUCUCAAACUUUAAAUGGGUAAGAAGCCCGGCUCGCUGGCGUGGAGCCGGGCGUGGAAUGCGAGUGCCUAGUGGGCCACUUUUGGUAAGCAGAACUGGCGCUGCGGGAUGAACCG
rnacentral:ncRNA from 1 species